rnacentral:misc_RNA from 1 species
AACGCACAUUGCGCCCCUUGGUUAUUCCGAAGGGCAUGCCUGUUCGAGCGUCAUUAUCACCCCUCAAGCCCUGGCUUGGUGUUGGACUUUAGUUAUAGCUUUGCCUAUCAACUGGUCUCAAAGAUAGUGAUGGCGCCCCAGAGGGAACCGGGUACGAGGAGCUUUUUACUAAGCAUGUAUCUGGGACGACUCUGAUGGACGACGGUCUUGUUAUACUUUUACCUAAGUGUUGACCUCGGAUCAGGUAGGAAUACCCGCUGAACUUAA